UGCUCUGGUGGCCUAGUGGUUGGAGCAUCUGCCUCAGAUGUGGGAGGUCGUGGGUUCAAUCCCCAGUCGAGUCA